UCCGGUUGAUCCUGGCGGAGGCCAUUGCUAUCGGAGUCCGAUUUAGCCAUGCUAGUCGCACGAGUUCAGACUCGUGGCAUAUAGCUCAGUAACACGUGGCCAAACUACCCUACAGACCGCGAUAACCUCGGGAAACUGAGGCCAAUAGCGGAUACGGCUCUCAUGCUGGAGUGCAGAGAGCUGGAAACGUUGAGGCGCUGUAGGAUGUGGCUGCGGCCGAUUAGGUAGACGGUGGGGUAACGGCCCACCGUGCCCGUAAUCGGUACAGGUUGUGACAGCAAGAGCCUGGAGACGGUAUCUGAGACAAGAUACCGGGCCCUACGGGGCGCAGCAGGCGCGAAACCUUUACACUGCACGAGAGUGCGAUAGGGGGACUCCGAGUGCGAGGGCAUAUAGCCCUCGCUUUUCUGAACCGUAAGGUGGUUCAGGAACAAGUGCUGGGCAAGACCGGUGCCAGCCGCCGCGGUAAUACCGGCAGCACGAGUGAUGGCCGAUUUUAUUGGGCCUAAAGCGUCCGUAGCUUGCUGUGUAAGUCCAUUGGGAAAUCCACGCGCUCAACGCGUGGGCGUCCGGUGGAAACUACACGGCUUGGGGCCGAGAGACUCGACGGGUACGUCCGGGGUAGGAGUGAAAUCCUGUAAUCCUGGACGGACCACCAAUGGGGAAACCACGUCGAGAGACCGGACCCGACAGUGAGGGACGAAAGCCAGGGUCUCGAACCGGAUUANAUACCCGGGUAGUCCUGGCCGUAAACAAUGCUCGCUAGGUAUGUCACGCGCCNUGANCACGUGAUGUGCCNCANUGAANGCNAUAANCGAGCCNCCUGGG
rnacentral:rRNA from 1 species